rnacentral:rRNA from 1 species
GACGAACGCUGGCGGCGUGCCUAACACAUGCAAGUCGAACGGGGUAGAGAGCUUCGGUUUUCUACUUAGUGGCGAACGGGUGAGUAACGCGUGAGGAACCUGCCUUUCAGUGGGGGACGAACAGUUGGAAACGACUGCUAAUACCGCACGAUACUUUUGGGGGACGAUCCCCCGGAACGUCAAAGCUUUAUGUGCUGAAAGAUGGCCUCGCGUCUGAUUAGCUAGUUGGCGGGGUAACGGCCCACCAAGGCGACGAUCAGUAGCCGGUCUGAGAGGAUGAACGGCCACAUUUGGGGACUGAGAUACGGCCCAGACUCCUACGGGAGGCAGCAGUGGGGAAUAUUGGUCAAUGGGCGAGAGCCUGAACCAGCCAAGUCGCGUGAAGGAUGAAGGAUCUAUGGUUUGUAAACUUCUUUAUUACGGGAAUAAAGUAGUGGUACGUGUACCAUUUG